UUUAUAUCCCUGGAGACUGAAGUCCUCUUUUUAUUCACAGAAUAAUUACACCACUGGCAGUAGCAUCAUAAAUUAUUCACAUUAUCCUGACAAUGUAUUUAUAAAGCUGAUCUGGAGGAACCAACUCUCAGUGUGAGAGGUGAAAUUAGUUUUUAUGCUUGAUAAUUAAUAAUACUUAG
rnacentral:sRNA from 1 species